rnacentral:rRNA from 1 species
AUUGAACGCUAGCGGGAUGCCUUACACAUGCAAGUCGAACGGCAGCACGGACUUCGGUCUGGUGGCGAGUGGCGAACGGGUGAGUAAUGUAUCGGAACGUGCCUAGUANCGGGGGAUAACUACUCGAAAGAGUAGCUAAUACCGCAUACGCCCUACGGGGGAAAGCGGGGGGACUCGCAAGAGCCUCGCGCGAUUGGAGCGGCCGAUGUCAGAUUAGCUAGUUGGUGGGGUAAAGGCCCACCAAGGCGACGAUCUGUAGCUGGUCUGAGAGGACGACCAGCCACACUGGAACUGAGACACGGUCCAGACUCCUACGGGAGGCAGCAGUGGGGAAUUUUGGACAAUGGGCGCAAGCCUGAUCCAGCCAUUCCGCGUGCAGGAUGAAGGCCCUCGGGUUGUAAACUGCUUUUGUACGGAACGAAAAGGUCUGGGUUAAUACCCUGGGCUCAUGACGGUACCGUAAGAAUAAGCACCGGCUAACUACGUG